rnacentral:rRNA from 1 species
UACGAAGGGGGCUAGCGUUGCUCGGAAUCACUGGGCGUAAAGCGCACGUAGGCGGCUUUUUAAGUCAGGGGUGAAAUCCUGGAGCUCAACUCCAGAACUGCCUUUGAUACUGAGAAGCUUGAGUCCGGGAGAGGUGAGUGGAACUGCGAGUGUAGAGGUGAAAUUCGUAGAUAUUCGCAAGAACACCGGUGGCGAAGGCGGCUCACUGGCCCGGUACUGACGCUGAGGUGCGAAAGCCAGGGGAGCAAACGGG